rnacentral:rRNA from 1 species
CCCUUAGAUGUCCUGGGCCGCACGCGCACUACACUGAGUGUCUGAGAUACGAGUCUGCCUGGUCCGGCAAGGUCUAGGUAAUCGCUAAAAGACACAUCAUGCUUGGGAUAGAUUAUUGCAAAUAUUAAUCUUGAACGAGGAAUUCCUAGUAAGCGCAAGUCAACAGCUUGCGUUGAUUACGUCCCUGCCCUUUGUACACACCGCCCGUCGCUACUACUGAUUGGAUGUUUAAGCGAGGUUCUCGAACUGCUAGCGACUUAGCUUCGGUGAGGUCGCAGUGUGGGAAGUGAACCUAGCUUUGGUGUCUAGAGGAAGUAAAAGUCGUAACA